rnacentral:rRNA from 1 species
UACAGAGGUCUCGAGCGUUAGGCGGAAUCACUGGGCUUAAAGCGUGUGUAGGCGGAUUGGUAAGUACCUUGUGAAAUCCCACGGCUUAACCGUGGAACUGCUUGGUAUACUGCCAAUCUUGAGCCAGCUAGGGGCUACCGGAACAAAUGGUGGAGCGGUGAAAUGCGUAGAUAUCAUUUGGAACGCCAAAGGUGAAAACAGGUAGCUGGGGCUGUGCUGACGCUGAGACACGGAAAGCCAGGGGAGCAAACGGG